rnacentral:rRNA from 1 species
UGACCGCUGGCGGCGUGCCUACUACAUGCACGUCGAGCGAACAGACGAGGAGCUUGCUCCUCUGACGUUAGCGGCGGACGGGUGAGUAACACGUGGAUAACCUACCUAUAAGACUGGGAUAACUUCGGGAAACCGGAGCUAAUACCGGAUAAUAUAUUGAACCGCAUGGUUCAAUAGUGAAAGACGGUUUUGCUGUCACUUAUAGAUGGAUCCGAGCCGCAUUAGCUAGUUGGUAAGGUAACGGCUUACCAAGGCAACGAUGCGUAGCCGACCUGAGAGGGUGAUCGGCCACACUGGAACUGAGACACGGUCCAGACUCCUACGGGAGGCAGCAGUAGGGAAUCUUCCGCAAUGGGCGAAAGCCUGACGGAGCAACGCCGCGUGAGUGAUGAAGGUCUUCGGAUCGUAAAACUCUGUUAUUAGGGAAGAACAAAUGUGUAAGUAACUAUGCACGUCUUGACGGUACCUAAUCAGAAAGCCACGGCUAACUACGUG